GCCUACGGGGGGCAGCAGUAGGGAAUUUUCGUCAAUGGGCGCAAGCCUGAACGAGCAAUGCCGCGUGAACGAGGAAGGUCUUCGGAUCGUAAAGUUCUGUUGAAGGGGAAAAAGAGCGGAGAGAGGAAAUGGUCUCCGAUUGAUAUUACCCUUCGAGGAAGUCACGGCUAACUACGUGCCAGCAGCCGCGGUAAUACGUAGGUGGCGAGCGUUAUCCGUAAUGAUUGGGCGUAAAGGGUGCGUAGGCGGCCUGCUAAGUCUGGAGUGAAAGGUACCGGCUCAACCGGUACAGGCUCUGGAAACUG
rnacentral:rRNA from 1 species